ACCAAGCCUUCCCUUUCUGCUUGCCCUUUCCUCCUUCUCCUCCUGAGUAGCUGGGACCACAGGCACAGUGCACGGUGCCAGCUAUUUUGGCUUUUCCACUCAAACCCGCUUGUGGCUACUAGUCCUUAUUCUCGGACGUGUCUUAACAAUGUGUGGGCCCUCCCCUGCUCUGGUGUGGCUCUGAGCCCCAGCAUUCCUCUGCCCUACAUACCCCCACCCGACUCCAGGCCCAGCCUCC
rnacentral:lncRNA from 1 species